rnacentral:rRNA from 1 species
ACUGCUCAGUAACACGUGGACAACCUACCCUUAGGCCUGGGAUAACCCCGGGAAACUGGGAAUAAUACCGGAUAUAUCGCGAAUGCUGGAAUGCGUCGCGAUAGAAAGCUCCGGCGCCUAAGGAUGGGUCUGCGGCCUAUCAGGGUAGUAGUGGGUGUAAUGUACCUACUAGCCUACGACGGGUACGGGUUGUGAGAGCAAGAGCCCGGAGAUGGAUUCUGAGACACGAAUCCAGGCCCUACGGGGUGCAGCAGGCGCGAAAACUUUACAAUGCUGGCAACAGCGAUAAGGGGACCUCGAGUGCCAGGAUACAAUCCUGGCUGUCGUAAUGCCUAAAAAGCAUUGCAUAGCAAGGGCCGGGCAAGACCGGUGCCAGCCGCCGCGGUAACACCGGCGGCUCGAGUGGUAACCGCUAUUAUUGGGUCUAAAGGGUCUGUAGCCGGCUGACUAAGUCUCUUGGGAAAUCUGGCAGCUCAACUGUCAGGCUUUCAGGAGAUACUGAUCGGCUCGAGACCGGGAGAGGUGAGAGGUACCUCAGGGGUAGGGGUGAAAUCUUGUAAUCCUUGAGGGACCACCAGUGGCGAAGGCGUCUCACCAGAACGGAUCUGACGGCAAGGGACGAAAGCUAGGGGCACGAACCGGAUUAGAUACCCGGGUAGUCCUAGCCGUAAACGAUACUCGCUAGGUGUCGGCCACGGUGCGACCGUGGUCGGUGCCGUAGGGAAGCCGUGAAGCGAGCCACCUGGGAAGUACGGCCGCAAGGCUGAAACUUAAAGGAAUUGGCGGGGGAGCAC